rnacentral:lncRNA from 1 species
CUUGCACCAAGCUAGGUGGGGUCAUCUACCACAUACCUAGGCUAUGCUGUACAGUCUAUUACUGUGGACUGUACAUGUGUACAGCAUGCUACUGUUACUGUAGGAUUUUAGCACUGAACAUCCUGACCCAGGAGCAAGGAAAAUUAAAAACGGACAAGAUCUGCAUUCCCUGCUCCACCCUUCUGGGACACCCUCCUACAGGUCAUGAGUUUCCUAGGCAGCUUCAGAGAUCAAGGCCUCACUGUGGCCAUUGGGUUGUCACUGAGCUGCCAAAGAUCUUGACUCUAGAAACCUCCCAUCCUUCAGAACUGAAGCGUGGACCAUGGAGUGUGCAUAAGGCUGGGCUGGAGGGAGCCUGA